GCUGGAGUGGAGGUCUCAUGUCACCCCAGUAGGAAGAAGAUUACAUGAGAGCCAAUGAUGUCCAGGCAUCAAUCUCUGCAGAAGGAAGAUGCAGUUCUGAAAGAAGUCCUGGUGCCUGGACAAGAUGAAGACUACAGAGAAGAGCCAAGAGAAGACGUCACUCAGGUCCUUUAACAAGGAAAGGAAGAAGGGGAAAUGGCGUCCAGCGGAUGUAAAUUCUCUUAUGACUCUAUAUCAGACUGGCAGUCUAUGGAGCCGUAGCUGAUCAAUUCACUAUUCAUCCAAAAUGUAAAACAUUCCUACUUAAAAUAUUAAUUGUUUAUAUGACAUGCUAUUAAGUAUUAAAAGUGAUUC